rnacentral:rRNA from 1 species
CUGGCUCAGGAUGAACGCUGGCGGCGUGCCUAACACAUGCAAGUCUAAGGAGAACGUAUCUUCGGAUACUAGUAAACUGGCGAACGGGUGAGUAACGCGUAGGCUACCUGCCCUGUAGAUUGGAAUAACCUCGUGAAAAUGGGGCUAAUACCAUAUAAUAUUGAAAAAUCAAAGGAGGCUUCGGCUUUCGCUACAGGAUGGGCCUGCGUCUGAUUAGCUAGAUGGUAGAGUAAAUGACUACCAUGGCAAUGAUCAGUAGCUGGUCUGAGAGGAUGAUCAGCCACACUGGGACUGAGAUACGGCCCAGACUCCUACGGGAGGCAGCAGGGAGGAAUUUUGCGCAAUGGACGAAAGUCUGACGCAGCAACGCCGCGUGAUCGAAGAAGCUUUGCGGAGUGUAAAGAUCUGUCAUAAGGGAAGAAUAAUGUAUAUACUAACACUAUAUACAUCUGACGGUACCUUAUAAGAAAGCCCCGGCUAACUUCGUGCCAGCAGCCGCGGUAAUACGAGGGGGGCAAGCGUUGUCCGGAUUUAUUGGGCGUAAAGGGCUCGUAGGUGGGCUAGUAAGUCAAAAUUGAAAUCCAAUGGCUUAACCAUUGUCACGGUUUUGAUACUGCUAGUCUUGAGUGAAAUAGAGGUAAGUGGAAUUCCUGGUGUAGCGGUGAAAUGCGUAGAUAUCAGGAGGAACGCCGAAGGAGAAGUCAGCUUGCUGGGUAUAUACUGACGCUGAGGAACGAAAGCGUGGGUAGCAAACAGGAUUAGAGACCCUGGUAGUCCACGCUGUAAACGAUGAGUACUAGAUGGUGGGUGAUUCGACCCUCUCACUGUUACAGUUAACGCAUUAAGUACUCCGCCUGGGAAGUACGUUCGCAAGAAUGAAACUCAAAGGAAUUGACGGGGACCCGCACAAGCGGUGGAUUAUGUGGUUUAAUUCGAUGCAACGCGAAGAACCUUACCUAGAUUUGACAUGUUUAAGAAAUUCUCGUGAAAGCGAGAACCUUUUUAAGUUUACUUAAAAACUUUUACACAGGUGAUGCAUGGCUGUCGUCAGCUCGUGUCGUGAGAUGUU